UACGGGGGGGGGCAAGCGUUGUUCGGAAUUACUGGGCGUAAAGGGCUCGUAGGUGGCCAACUAAGUCAGACGUGAAAUCCCUCGGCUUAACCGGGGAACUGCGUCUGAUACUGGAUGGCUUGAGUUUGGGAGAGGGACGCGGAAUUCCAGGUGUAGCGGUGAAAUGCGUAGAUAUCUGGAGGAACACCGGUGGCGAAGGCGGGUUCGCUGGGCCGAC
rnacentral:rRNA from 1 species